AGGUACUUGAAAGAAUCAAAUAUGAAGAAAUUGAUGAUACAGACCAACUUAGAAUAUGUUUACGACAAGAAGCUGCAAGAUGGGCAUGUUUUCUCGGUGACAUUACUUGUAAGAAAAUAGCCAACAUAAAAUUAAAACAACAUUGCGAACAACCUAAAACAUACAGACUUAUGCCAUGGUGAAAGGAAUGGACAUAUUGUAAAGGUUUGAUGAUAACUGCCGAAAAAGAGAAUACUUGGGAAAUUGUGUAUGUGAUAGGUUUGGAAAAAAAGACACUAAAUUUUUAGAAUACUUGGCUUGCACUGAAGAUACUAAUCGCAUCAAAUCGUAUUUAACAUUAAAACAAAAUAUUUCUACACAAAAUAAAUAUCCAAAUUUUUUAACAGUUUCUUACAUAUUAUUACAAAGCAUGCGAAGAAUCAAACUAUACUGGAGCAUUUAUUAAAUUAUUUUCAAGAAAAAAAACCAAAACCUGUUACUAUACCUGCAGCAUUAAUUAUUAUUAUUAUUAACGUAUAUUCCGUAAAUCAAACUAAGUUAAUAGAAGAAUUCGUUGAAAGAUGGAAGACGGACUUAGCAGACAUAAUUAAUAUAAUUAAUAAAACAACAAAUU